UCAACAACGGAUUCUUAGUCCGGCAUCGAUGAAGAACGCAGCGAAAUGCGAUAAGUAAUGUGAAUUGCAGAAUUCCGUGAAUCAUCGAAUCUUUGAACGCACAUUGCGCCCUCUGGUAUUCCGGGGGGCAUGCCUGUUCGAGCGUCAUUU
rnacentral:rRNA from 1 species